GCCCCUUUAGCGCAAUUGGAUAGAGCACCAGACUUCUAAUCUGGAGGUUGCGAGUUCGACCCUCGCAAGGGGUA